CACAAUUAAACAUUCUGGCAACACUCCUUAGGUGGCACAGUGUGCCCUGGGGCACAGGGAACGGGAUAGAAACCAACACACUUGCAAAGUGAGGGAGCUAGUAGGCAAGCAGUGACCAUUGGAACAGAGCCGAAUUCAACCUGCAGUGGAGAAAGCAAACAGUCAUCUUCAUGCUGCAGAAUUGUCAGAAUUCUGGGACCUCUGGAAAUGGGCAGGAGGCACAACUCAGCUGAGGCAUUUGAAGAGGAAAGAAGAAAAGAGGGAUUCCUUAAUCAGAUGCAGGUUUCCACUCAGUGACACGCUGGAAUCAGGCAACUUAAAUGACUGUAUGUGAACUGAAACCUCAGGAUCUCUAGCUCCAAGGUUGGAACAGCCUGCUCCGGAGCAGGGACUCACCCUGGGAGACAGACCUGAGACUGUUAUUGGGGUUCCCAUCGGCAGGCUCAGCCUGGCCACCACUCAUGUUACUGAGUUCAAAUCCCAGCUCUGUCACAUACCAACUCCAGACAAUAGCUGGAUCUCUCUGAGUCUGUUUCUAGGGCUGGAGAAUGCAGAGAGAGCUGUGUCCAGCCCAUACGGUGGCUGCUGUAGGCACGAAUGAUCCAAGACACUGAAGGAGUCAUCUGCUCCCAUGCUGGGGAGUCCAGCUGUUCGACCCCCUGCCCCAGCUGAAACCUGCCUCCUUCCAACCUGCUCCACACAGGGAGUGUUGGCUCUGCCCUGGGGCCACACACCUGUCCCCCCGAGCCUGAGACAGCUCUGUGUUCUUUGUGUCAUCUUGUGUCACCAGCCAGACAUCUCAGACUCUCUCCCAAGCUUCCACGGAACACACUGGGAACAGCUGGGUGCCUGCACAGCUGGGGAGAGGAAACCCUUUCCCUGCAGUUACCAGGAAUGUCGCAGUGAAAGGGGAAUUUUGUCUCCAUGGUUCAAGCUGGACUUACUAUGGGGAAAUUCCCUACUUGAAAUUUCCUUUGCCCCACAUGCCCGGGUCUGUCCUGCCUCACAUGCCUGGAUACAGCUGAGCCCGCCCGCUAACAAAUAUUCAAACUCUGUAACCAAUAAAUGUGUGUCAGAUGUGCCUUACUGU